rnacentral:rRNA from 1 species
GAUGAACGCUGGCGGCGUGCUUAACACAUGCCAGUCGAACGAAGCAUCUGCGACAGUUUUUUUCUGAAUUUAGUUGCUUAUGACUGAGUAACGGACGGGUGAGUAACGUGUGGGUAUCGUGCCUCUUACUGGGAGAUAGCAUCUGGACACAGCUGGUAAUAAAGCAUAAGCUCACAAUGUUGCAUGACGUCUUGUGAACACCUCUGGUGGGAUAAGAUGGACGUUCGUCAGAUUAGCUAGUUGGUGAGAUCACAGCCCACCAAGGCGACGCUCGGUAGACGAGCUGUGAGACUGACCCGACACAUUGAGACUGAGCCACAGUCCGGAAUCCUACGGGAGGCGGCAAUGGGGGAUGUUGCAAAAUGGAGGAAACUCUGAUGCAGCGCCGACGCGUGAGUGAAGAUAUAAGGCAUUAUGUAAAGCGCUAUCAGCAGGGAAGAUAGUGACGGUACCUAAUUAAGAAGCCACGGCUAACUACGUG